UACGUAGGGUGCAAGCGUUUGUCCGGAAUUAUUGGGCGUAAAGAGCUCGUAGGCGGUUUGUCGCGUCGGCUGUGAAAACUCGGGGCUCAACCCCGAGCCUGCAGUCGAUACGGGCAAACUAGAGUGUGGUAGGGGAGACUGGAAUUCCUGGUGUAGCGGUGAAAUGCGCAGAUAUCAGGAGGAACACCGGUGGCGAAGGCGGGUCUCUGGGCCAAUACUGACGCUGAGGAGAGAAAGCGUGGGGAGCGAACAGG
rnacentral:rRNA from 1 species